CGCUCCAGCCAGGGAAAACAACUGCUCACUUCUCCCUGAGUCCGCCCCGCGCGCUCCCUGCUUCCCGGCGGCCGCGGGAGCCCAGCCCGGCCGGGGGAGGCGCGGAGCGGGCCGGCCGCCCGGCCUUCCUCUCCCCUCGCUCCUCCUCUCCGCCUCAACUUGCUCCGGCCUCCUCGCUGCGGCCUCAGGUUGGGGCCUCCGCAGGCCCUCGGCCCCGGCUCGUGGCCGGGCUCCUUCCCGGGGCGGUGGAAGUUUCUGGGCUCCCCGCAGUCCAGCCUCCAUCUCUUUGCCUCUCACUGGGCCCGCGCCCGCGCCUGCUGUCCCCUCCCUGCGCGCUUCCUCCCAUCUUCUCCCUCGCUGCCCUCUCUACUCCUCUCCCGGGGCUCCCGGCUUGCUGUUCCCCUCGGGCGCCGGGACCAUCGGCCCUGCCCGGGCGCGCCCCCCGGGUCCUGCGGCCCCGGAUGCCCGGGCCCCGUGGGGCUGCUGGCGGCCUGGCCCCUGAGAUGCGCGGGGCGGGGGCGGCGGGGCUGCUGGCGCUGCUGCCGCUGCUGCUGCUGCUGCUGGGCCCGGGCGGCGGGGCCGAGGGGGGGCCGGCGGGCGAGAGGGGCGCUGGCGGGGGCGGGGCGCUGGCCCGCGAGCGCUUCAAGGUGGUCUUUGCGCCCGUGAUCUGCAAGCGGACCUGUCUCAAGGGCCAGUGUCGGGACAGUUGUCAGCAGGGCUCCAACAUGACGCUCAUCGGAGAGAACGGCCACAGCACCGAUACGCUCACGGGCUCCGGCUUCCGCGUGGUGGUGUGCCCUCUGCCCUGCAUGAACGGCGGCCAGUGCUCCUCCCGAAACCAGUGCCUGUGUCCCCCGGACUUCACCGGUCGCUUCUGCCAGGUGCCCGCUGGAGGAACUGGCGGGGGCGCUGGCGGCUCAGGCCCUGGGCUUGGUCGGGCUGGGGCCCUGUCCACAGGCGCGCUGCCUCCCCUGGCUCCGGAAGGCGAGUCUGUGGCCAGCAAGCACGCCAUCUACGCGGUCCAGGUGAUCGCCGAUCCGCCGGGGCCCGGGGAGGGGCCCCCUGCCCAGCAUGCAGCCUUCCUGGUGCCCCUCGGGCCAGGACAGAUCUCAGCGGAAGUGCAGGCCCCACCCCCUGUGGUGAACGUGCGCGUCCACCACCCCCCCGAGGCCUCCGUCCAAGUGCACCGCAUCGAAGGGCCCAACGCCGAGGGCCCGGCCCCCUCCCAGCACCUGCUGCCGCACCCCAAGCCCCCGCAUCCUCGGCCACCCACCCAGAAGCCCCUGGGCCGCUGCUUCCAGGACACGCUGCCCAAGCAGCCCUGUGGGAGCAAUCCCCUCCCCGGCCUCACCAAGCAGGAAGACUGCUGUGGAAGCAUCGGCACAGCCUGGGGCCAGAGCAAGUGCCACAAGUGCCCCCAGCUGCAGUACACAGGGGUGCAGAAGCCAGGGCCUGUACGUGGGGAGGUGGGCGCUGACUGCCCCCAGGGCUACAAGAGGCUCAACAGCACACACUGCCAGGACAUCAAUGAGUGCGCGAUGCCAGGCAUGUGUCGCCAUGGUGACUGCCUCAACAACCCUGGCUCCUAUCGCUGUGUCUGCCCACCCGGCCAUAGUUUGGGCCCCUCCCGCACACAGUGCAUUGCGGACAAGCCGGAGGAGAAGAGCCUAUGUUUCCGCCUGGUGAGCCCCGAGCACCAGUGCCAGCACCCGCUGACCACUCGCCUCACCCGCCAACUCUGCUGCUGCAGUGUUGGCAAGGCCUGGGGCACCAGGUGCCAGCGCUGCCCAGCUGAUGGCACUGCCGCCUUCAAGGAGAUCUGUCCAGCUGGGAAGGGGUACCACAUCCUCACCUCCCACCAGACGCUCACCAUUCAGGGUGAAAGUGACUUUUCCCUUUUCCUGCACCCUGAUGGGCCACCCAAGCCCCAGCAGCUCCCUGAGAGCCCCAGCCGGGCACCACCACCUGAGGACAAAGAGGAAGAGAGAGGGGUGAGCACAGACUCACCAGUGAUCGAAGAGCAGUCCGCGCAGCAGAGCCACCCGACUGUCACCACAUCUCCUGCCCGGCCCUACCCUGAGCUGAUCUCCCGGCCCUCGCCGCCCUGGUUCCUGCCCGACUUGCCCCCUUCCCGAAGUGCGGUAGAGAUUGCCCCUACUCAGGUCACAGAGACGGACGAGUGCCGACUGAACCAGAACAUCUGUGGCCACGGGGAGUGCGUCCCGGGACCCUCGGACUAUUCCUGCCAUUGUAACCCGGGCUACCGGUCGCAUCCGCAGCACCGCUACUGCGUGGACGUGAACGAAUGCGAGGCGGAGCCGUGCGGCGCCGGGAGGGGCAUCUGCAUGAACACCGGCGGCUCCUACAACUGCCACUGCAACCGCGGCUACCGCCUGCACGUCGGCGCCGGGGGCCGCUCGUGCGUGGACCUGAACGAGUGCGCCAAGCCUCACCUGUGCGGCGACGGCGGCUUCUGCAUCAACUUUCCCGGUCACUACAAGUGCAACUGCUACUCCGGCUACCGGCUCAAAACCUCUCGACCGCCCGUGUGCGAAGACAUCGACGAGUGCCGAGACCCUAGCUCCUGCCCGGAUGGCAAAUGCGAGAACAAACCUGGGAGCUUCAAGUGCAUUGCCUGUCUGCCCGGCUACCGCAGCCAGGGGGGCGGGGCCUGCCGCGACGUGAACGAGUGCGCCGAGGGCAGCCCCUGCUCUCCCGGCUGGUGCGAGAACCUCCCGGGCUCCUUCCGCUGCACGUGCGCCCAGGGCUAUGCGCCCGCGCCGGACGGCCGCAGUUGCCAGGAUGUGGAUGAGUGUGAGGCUGGGGACGUGUGUGACAACGGCAUCUGCACCAACACGCCAGGCUCCUUCCAGUGUCAGUGCCUCUCUGGCUACCAUCUUUCAAGGGACCGGAGCCACUGUGAGGACAUUGAUGAGUGUGACUUUCCCGCAGCCUGCAUUGGGGGUGAUUGCAUCAACACCAACGGCUCCUAUCGAUGUCUCUGUCCCCAGGGGCAUCGGCUGGUAGGCGGCCGGAAGUGCCAAGACAUAGAUGAGUGCAGCCAGGACCCGGGUCUGUGCCUUCCCCACGGGGCCUGCGAGAAUCUGCAGGGCUCCUACGUUUGCGUCUGCGAUGAAGGCUUCACGCCCACCCAGGACCAGCAUGGCUGUGAGGAGGUGGAGCAGCCCCACCACAAGAAGGAGUGCUACCUUAACUUCGAUGACACCGUGUUCUGCGACAGUGUACUGGCCACCAAUGUCACCCAGCAGGAGUGCUGCUGCUCUCUGGGGGCUGGCUGGGGAGACCACUGCGAGAUCUAUCCCUGCCCAGUCUACAGUUCAGCUGAGUUCCACAGCCUUUGCCCGGACGGGAAGGGUUACACCCAGGACAACAACAUUGUCAACUACGGCAUCCCAACCCACCGUGACAUCGACGAAUGCAUAUUGUUUGGGGCGGAGAUCUGCAAGGAGGGCAAGUGCGUGAACACGCAGCCCGGCUACGAGUGCUAUUGCAAGCAAGGCUUCUACUACGACGGGAACCUGCUGGAAUGCGUGGACGUGGACGAGUGCUUGGACGAGUCUAAUUGCCGGAACGGAGUGUGUGAGAACACGCGCGGUGGCUACCGCUGCGCCUGCACACCCCCGGCCGAGUACAGCCCGGCGCAGCGCCAGUGUCUGAGCCCAGAGGAGAUGGACGUGGACGAGUGCCAGGACCCCGCAGCCUGCCGCCCUGGCCGCUGCGUCAACCUGCCGGGCUCCUACCGCUGCGAGUGCCGCCCGCCCUGGGUGCCCGGGCCCUCCGGCCGCGACUGCCAGCUCCCCGAGAGCCCGGCCGAGCGUGCCCCGGAGCGGCGGGACGUGUGCUGGAGCCAGCGCGGAGAGGACGGCAUGUGUGCGGGCCCCCUGGCCGGGCCCGCCCUCACCUUCGACGACUGCUGCUGUCGGCAGGGCCGAGGUUGGGGAGCCCAGUGCCGACCGUGCCCGCCGCGCGGCGCCGGGUCCCAGUGCCCGACGUCGCAGAGUGAGAGCAAUUCUUUCUGGGACGCGAGUCCCCUGCUGCUGGGAAAGCCUCCGCGAGAAGAGGACAGCUCGGAGGAGGAUUCAGACGAGUGCCGCUGCAUGAGCGGCCGCUGUGUGCCUCGGCCGGGCGGCGCAGUGUGCGAGUGUCCUGGUGGCUUCCAGCUAGACGCCUCCCGCGCGCGCUGCGUCGGACACUGCCCUCUCCUGGUUCUCCUCUGACCUCACCUACUGCUGCUUCUCAGUCUCCUUUUGCUGAGAUCUUACUGUUCAGACACCCCAGAGCUACUCCUCAAGCCUCGUCUCUUUUACACCUCAGCCUAGGGGACGCGGGUUCCAUCACUGGUCGGACCACUAAGAUCCCACAUGCCACGGGGCAACUAAGCCCGAAAGCUACAACUACUGAGCCUGCGAACUCUGGAGCCCACGCACCACAACUAGAGAGAAGUCCAUGCGCCGCAACGAAAGAUCCCGCAUGCUACAACUAAGACCCGACACAGCCAAGUAAAUAAAUAUUUAGAAAACGAAACGAAACAAAACAAAAAAACUGUUUCUCCCAGUCUUCUCAGUAAAUGGCAACUGAACCUUCCAGUUGUUCAGGCCAGAAACCUUGGAGCCAUCCUUGACUCCAUAUCUACCCAUCACCAAAUACUUUCAGCUCCACCUUCACAAUGCUGCCCCUUCUCUCCACCUGCUGCUACCAUUCAGGUCUGAGCUACUGUCAUCUCUCAUCUGGGCCACUGUCAGAGCCCCUAACAGUGUCCCAGCUUCCACCCUUGCCCUGACAGUUAGUUCUCCACACAGCAACACAGUGUUUAGCAACAGGUCAGAUCAGUUCAGUGCUCUGCUCAGUCCCUCAGGGUUCCUGUCUCACUCCCAUGAAUGCAUCAGGUCCCUGCCAUGCCCUACGAGGCCCUGGCCCCACCAUUACCUCUCAGACUCCACUGCCCACAAUCAUGCCCCUUCAGCCAUGCUGAACCUCUUGCUGCUACUCCUACACUCCAGGUACACACCAGCCUCAGGACCUUUGCACAUGUUGUUCCUUCUGCAGGCAACAUAUUUCCUCCAAAUCUCCUCCUUCACCCCUUUUCACCUUUUUUCCUUAAACGACAACUCCUCUGUAAGGUCUUCCCUGAUCACUGUUUUUAGAACUGCAACCUCUUCUCUUCACAAUCUCCAUCGC